GACUAGACAGAGAUCAUACCACAGUGUUCCUCAACCACAUGCCAUCUUAUAUUACUCUCAGAGAACAUCCAAUGGGGGUCUUCUCAUAGCUGAAGCCACUGGAGUUUCUGACACAGCUCAAGGGUACCCAGAUACUCCUGGUAUAUGGACAAAGGAG